AUAUUUUUGUUACACCAUGCAUGCACAAGCAAUUAAAGCAUCCAUCUUUGAAACUGAAUAAUGCCAAAUACCUCACGCCACCCAACAAAUUCAAGCUGAAUUUAACUUUGAAAAGUCAUCCAGCGCCAUUUCAGCUGGCGCCAUUUUUAAGUGGUUGAAAGCAACGAUUACAAAUUUUUAGAUGCCACCAUUUACUCCUUCCUUGGCUUAUAAAAGCCUGGCGAUGACUGCCUCACCAUCUUUC
rnacentral:lncRNA from 1 species